UAGUACGGCGAGUGAAGUGGGAAAAGCUCAACUUUAAAAUCUGGCAGCUUCGCUGUCCGAGUUGUAGUCUCGAGAAGUGUUUUCCGCGCUGGAUCGUGUAUGAGUCUGUUGGAAUACAGCGUCAUAGAGGGUGAGAACCCCGUUCAUGACACGACUACCAGUGCUUUGUGAUACACUUUCGAUGAGUCGAGUUGUUUGGGAAUGCAGCUCAAAAUGGGUGGUAAAUUCCAUCUAAAGCUAAAUAUUGGCGAGAGACCGAUAGCAAACAAGUACCGUGAGGGAAAGAUGAAAAGCACUUUGGAAAGAGGGUUAACAGUACGUGAAAUUGUCGAAAGGGAAACGCUUGAAGUCAGACGUGCGCGGUGCGAUUCAGCCUUGGUUCGCCAGGGUGUACUUCGUACCAUUGCAGGCCAGCAUCGGUUUUGUGAGCCGGAUAAAGGUUAGAGGAAGGUAGCGGUCCAGGCCGUGUUAUAGCCUCUAACUGAAUACGGAUUGUGAGACCGAGGGACGCAGCGCGCCGCAAGGCAAAGGGUCCGCCCUUUUCGCGCUUAGGAUGCUGGUGAAAUGGCUUUAAACGACCCGUCUUGA
rnacentral:rRNA from 1 species